UACGUAGGGGGCAAGCGUUGUCCGGAAUCAUUGGGCGUAAAGAGCGUGUAGGUGGCUCGGUAAGUCCGCUGUGAAAGUCCAGGGCUCAACCCUGGAAAGCCGGUGGAAACUGUCGAGCUCGAGUCCGGAAGAGGCGAGUGGAAUUCCUGGUGUAGCGGUGAAAUGCGCAGAUAUCGGGAAGAACACCCGUGGCGAAGGCGGCUCUCUGGGACGGUACUGACGCUGAGACGCGAAAGCGUGGGGAGCGAACAGG
rnacentral:rRNA from 1 species